rnacentral:rRNA from 1 species
GACGAACGCUGGCGGCGUGCUUAACACAUGCAAGUCGAACGGAAAGGCCCAGCUUGCUGGGUGCUCGAGUGGCGAACGGGUGGGUAACACGUGGGUGAUCUGCCCCUAACUUCGGGAUAAGCUUGGGAAACUGGGUCUAAUACCGGAUAGGACAAUCGUUUAGUGUCGGUUGUGGAAAGUUUUUUCGGUUAGGGAUGAGCCCGCGGCCUAUCAGCUUGUUGGUGGGGUAAUGGCCUACCAAGGCGUCGACGGGUAGCCGGCCUGAGAGGGUGGACGGCCACAUUGGGACUGAGAUACGGCCCAGACUCCUACGGGAGGCAGCAGUGGGGAAUAUUGCACAAUGGGCGCAAGCCUGAUGCAGCGACGCCGCGUGGGGGAUGACGGCCUUCGGGUUGUAAACCUCUUUCGACAGGGACGAAGCUUUGGUGACGGUACCUGUAUAAGAAGCACCGGCUAACUACGUG